rnacentral:rRNA from 1 species
CCAAUAGCGUAUAUUAAAGUUGUUGCAGUUAAAAAGCUCGUAGUUGAAUUUCGGGAUCAUUAGGUUGGUCGUGCCUCUGGUAUGUACUGAUCUCGGUGGUUCCUACUUCUUGAAGAACCGUAAUGCCAUUAAUUUGGUGUUGCGGGGAAACAGGACUGUUACUUUGAAAAAAUUGGAGUGUUUAAAGCAGGCAAUCGCUUGAAUACAUUAGCAUGGAAUAAUGAAAUAGGACGUUCGAUCCUAUUUUGUUGGUUUCUAGGAUUGACGUAAUGAUUAAUAGGGAUAGUUGGGGGCAUUAGUAUUCAAUUGUCAGAGGUGAAAUUCUUGGAUUUAUUGAAGACUAACUACUGCGAAAGCAUUUGCCAAGGAUGUUUUCAUUAAUCAAGAACGAAAGUUAGGGGAUCGAAGACGAUCAGAUACCGUCGUAGUCUUAACCAUAAACUAUGCCGACUAGGGAUCGGAUGAUGUUAAUUUUUUAAUGACUCAUUCGGCGCCUUACG